ACGGGAGGCAGCAGUGGGGAAUAUUGGGCAAUGGGCGAAAGCCUGACCCAGCAACGCCGCGUGAGGGAAGAAGGUUUUCGGAUUGUAAACCUCUGUCCUUGGGGACGAAGGAAGUGACGGUACCCAAGGAGGAAGCCCCGGCUAACUACGUGCCAGCAGCCGCGGUAAUACGUAGGGGGCGAGCGUUGUCCGGAAUGACUGGGCGUAAAGGGCGUGUAGGCGGCCUUAUAAGUCUGGAGUGGAAGUCCCGCUUUCAAGGUGGGAAUUGCUUUGGAGACUGUAGGGCUUGAGUGCGGAAGAGGUAAGUGGAAUUCCCAGUGUAGCGGUGAAAUGCGUAGAGAUUGGGAGGAACACCAGUGGCGAAGGCGACUUACUGGGCCGUAACUGACGCUGAGGCGCGAAAGCGUGGGGAGCAAACAGGAUUAGAUACCCUGGUA
rnacentral:rRNA from 1 species